rnacentral:rRNA from 1 species
AUAGCUCACUAGUCGAGUCGGCCUGCGCGGAAGAUGUAACGGGGCUAAAACUAUGUGCCGAAGCUGCGGAUGUAUACUUUGUAUACGUGGUAGGGGAGCGUUCUGUAAGCCGAUGAAGGUGUGUUGAGAAGCAUGCUGGAGGUAUCAGAAGUGCGAAUGCUGACGUGAGUAACGACAAAACGGGUGAAAAACCCGUUCGCCGAANAAGACCAAGGGUUCCAGUCCAACGUUAAUCGGGGCUGGGUGAGUCGACCCCUAAGGCGAGGCCGAAAGGCGUAGUCGAUGGGAAAAUGGUUAAUAUUCCAUUACUUCUGUGUAAUGCGAUGAGAGGACGGAGAAGGCUAAAUCAGCCUGGCGUUGGUUGUCCAGGUGAAAGGAUGUAGGCAUGUAUCUUAGGCAAAUCCGGGGUACUCUAUGCUGAGAUCUGAUAGCAAGCUGUACUUGUACAGCGAAGUGGUUGAUGCCAUGCUUCCAGGAAAAGUCUCUAAGCUUCAGUUACACAGGAAUCGUACCCGAAACCGACACAGGUGGUCAGGUCGAGUAGACCAAGGCGCUUGAGAGAACUCUGCUGAAGGAACUAGGCAAAAUGGUACCGUAACUUCGGGAGAAGGUACGCUGUUGUUGGUGAUGGAACUCGCUUCCUGAGCUGACGACAGCCGCAGAAACCAGGCCGCUGCAACUGUUUAUUAAAAACAUAGCACUCUGCAAACACGAAAGUGGACGUAUAGGGUGUGAUGCCUGCCCGGUGCUGGAAGGUUAAUUGAUGGGGUUAGCGUAAGCGAAGCUCUUGAUCGAAGCCCCAGUAAACGGCGGCCGUAACUAUAACGGUCCUAAGGUAGCGAAAUUCCUUGUCGGGUAAGUUCCGACCUGCACGAAUGGCAUAAUGAUGGCGGCGCUGUCUCCAGCAGAGGCUCAGUGAAAUCGAAAUCGCUGUGAAGAUGCAGUGUACCCGCGGCUAGACGGAAAGACCCCGUGAACCUUUACUGCAGCUUGACACUGAACUUUGACCUUACUUGUGUAGGAUAGGUGGGAGGCUUUGAAGCUGGAACGCUAGUUCCAGUGGAGCCGUCCUUGAAAUACCACCCUGGUAAUGUUGAGGUUCUAACUCUGUCCCGUGAUCCGGGACGAGGACCGUGUCUGGUGGGUAGUUUGACUGGGGCGGUCUCCUCCUAAAGAGUAACGGAGGAGUACGAAGGUGCGCUCAGCGUGGUCGGAAAUCACGCGUAGAGUAUAAAGGCAAAAGCGCGCUUAACUGCGAGACCCACAAGUCGAGCAGGUACGAAAGUAGGUCUUAGUGAUCCGGUGGUUCUGUAUGGAAGGGCCAUCGCUCAACGGAUAAAAGGUACUCUGGGGAUAACAGGCUGAUACCGCCCAAGAGUUCAUAUCGACGGCGGUGUUUGGCACCUCGAUGUCGGCUCAUCUCAUCCUGGGGCUGAAGCAGGUCCCAAGGGUAUGGCUGUUCGCCAUUUAAAGAGGUACGCGAGCUGGGUUUAGAACGUCGUGAGACAGUUCGGUCCCUAUCUACCGUGGGCGCUGGAAAUUUGAGAGGAUCUGCUCCUAGUACGAGAGGACCAGAGUGGACGAACCUCUGGUGUACCGGUUGUGACGCCAGUCGCAUCGCCGGGUAGCUAUGUUCGGAAGGGAUAACCGCUGAAAGCAUCUAAGCGGGAAGCCUACCUCAAGAUAAGAUUUCCCUAGGACUUUAUGUCCUCUAAAGAGCCGUUCGAGACUAGGACGUUGAUAGGUUGGAUGUGGAAGCAUAGUGAUAUGUGAAGCUGACCAAUACUAAUUGCUCGUGAGGCUUGACUAU